rnacentral:sRNA from 1 species
GCGGAGACGCAUGUUUCCGUUCACUCCUCACACCACACUCCGCCUGAACACCGUUCAGGCGGUU